rnacentral:tRNA from 1 species
GUGGAUUUAUUGCUCAAUUGGUUAGAACAGUGCUUUGACAUGGCAUAGGCGAUGUCAUAGGUUCGAAUCCAGUUGAACACA